GGCUGCAAACGUUUCUUUUGAGGUUGCUUUUCAUCCCUGUCCACAAGGUGUCAAGCGUGAGUCCACUCUGGCGUGUCUGUGAUACCUGAAAAGAUGGACUGAAAACACGGAGGCCUGUUUUCAUUUAAAUUCACUUAAAGUGAAUUAAGGUGAAGGUAUGUGAAGUGGCUGGUAACGUUUAGUGACAACCAUCUCCUGGAGUGUUAUCUGGGAAGCUGUGGUGCAGAGGGGGAACGUGCACGGCAGAAGCAUGAAAUUUUAAUGGCACGAAAGUCCAAAGAUACAGAAGUGGUGCAAGAACGUGUACCUGUUAAGGAGGAAAAACAGACAGAAGCAUCAAAAAGUUUACUAUCGAAUUCAAAAGUUUACGACCCCUUAACUAUUCUUAUGGACUGGAUCUCAGAC
rnacentral:lncRNA from 1 species